rnacentral:rRNA from 1 species
AUGAUUCCAGGACCUGGAAUCAUACUAGUCAAUGGGUGGUGGUUUAUCGCUCAUUCAACCGACGACGGUCAUUUGAUGCUCAUUCACACGUAUCAAAUUGACCAAACCAUUUCAUCAAACCACAUGCAGUACAAUGCCUGGGGCGUUCGUGACUGUGAUGGCUAUGGCUGCUUCGUGUUCGAGAAAGAUCCCAGCUCCGUUGGGCCAGUCGUAUUCAACUGGAGGCGGGUUUACAGCCUCGACAACCACUCCAUGUUCCUCGGGCUCAAUUAUCUGAUCAUCCAACCAAUCAUUGAUCAUAUCACCGGCGAUGAUUACCGUGCUAUGCAACUUCCAUUCGCCAGGGGGAACUGUGUUUACACAUCAUGCAUACCAUGGUACCAUAUCACUGGAAUUAACCGAUGCAAGUCCAAGAAGGAUUGGUCGGUGCUGCCGGCUGGCGUCAAGUUUGAUCCCACAGAUCAGGAGCUGAUCGAGCACCUUGAGGCCAAAGUGAGUGCUGACAGAGCGAGAUCUCACCCUCUCAUUGAUUUGUUCAUACCAACCAUCGACAGCGAGCAUGGCAUAUGCUACACCCAUCCUGAGAAACUUCCAGCGCAACUCCCGGGCGUUCAAAAGGGGCACGUGGACACGUCGCAAGAUACAGUCGGAGUGUGGCAUGCACGCGAUGUGGCACAAGACCGGCAAUACCUUGCCAGUGAUGGUCAACGGCCGCAGACGGGCAGCAAAAAGGUUCUGGUGCUGUGCACCAACAAGAACUUCGACCAGCAGAGGACCAAUUGGGUGAUGCACCAGUACCACCUUGGGGACCUGGAGCAAGAGAAUGACUGGGAGCUGUUCUCCAAUUUGUUUACAUCUUCGAAGUACGCAGGGGUCCAUCCGAUUUCACAGGCUGAUAGUUGGACGCAGCACGUCGGAACUGGGCUGUGGCAUGCCAAGCCCAGCUGCAAAUUGUUAAAAGAGAGGAGCGGGAUUUGGGCCUUCCAGAACAGUUAA